UCCUCCCCGAGCGAUGGAGUUCGCUCAGAACUGCCCUGAUGAAUCUUUGUGAACUAAGGGAUGAUGACUCCUGCUGUAUC
rnacentral:ncRNA from 2 species